GCCCCGGUAGAACAGUGGUAGUGCUAAUGUAAGUGGUGAGCAAAAGCGCCUAGUAACUACGACAGGUCGCAAGUUCGAAUCCUGCCCGGUGGCU